rnacentral:ncRNA from 1 species
UAGUGUCUUUACAAUAGAAGCUGCUUCAAUAGUCUUUGUAGAGACACUAAUACUAGUUAGUGCCGAAAGUUAUUAAACCGAAUGGAUUUAGUAGGUAAUUAAGUUGAAUUAACAACUUCCCUCAAGUGCUAUAUGCCGUAGGGUGGAAAAACAACGUGCCACUGAUCA